CCAGAAUCCUAUGGGCGGCAUCAGUGGCGAAUUUUUGACAAUGAGGGAAACCCUGAUCCUAUCAUGCCGCGUGCAGGAUGAAGGCUUUCGGGUGGUAA
rnacentral:rRNA from 1 species